rnacentral:piRNA from 1 species
UAAAUGACAGUGACUCCUUUAAAAGAAGAGU